CCUACGGGGGGCUGCAGUGGGGAAUAUUGGACAAUGGGCGAAAGCCUGAUCCAGCCAUGCCGCGUGUGUGAAGAAGGCCUUCGGGUUGUAAAGCACUUUCAGUGGGGAAGAAGGCCUUGGGGCUAAUACCCUCGAGGAAGGACAUCACCCACAGAAGAAGCACCGGCUAACUCCGUGCCAGCAGCCGCGGUAAUACGGAGGGUGCGAGCGUUAAUCGGAAUUACUGGGCGUAAAGCGCGCGUAGGCGGUCUGAUAAGCCGGUUGUGAAAGCCCCGGGCUCAACCUGGGAACGGCAUCCGGAACUGUCAGGCUAGAGUGCAGGAGAGGAAGGUAGAAUUCCCGGUGUAGCGGUGAAAUGCGUAGAGAUCGGGAGGAAUACCAGUGGCGAAGGCGGCCUUCUGGACUGACACUGACGCUGAGGUGCGAAAGCGUGGGUAGCAAACAGGAUUAGAUACCCCGGUAGUC
rnacentral:rRNA from 1 species